rnacentral:lncRNA from 1 species
AUGGGGCUGGGAGUAGCCCUCGGAGACUGGCUUGGCAGGGAACCUCAUCUCUUUAGGGCAGACAUCACAGUGUUGACUUGCACAGACACAUCUGUAUUUCUUGUGAAGCACCAGGGACGAGCCCUCCUGUUUUUUUCUUUCUUAGUUCCAAAAGGUGAAGAAAGGGCAACCCGCCCCUUCGAACCGCUCCAGGUACUUGCAGUAGUGAGCCUCCCGUCCCCGGAGGCAUGUCAGCAGAGGCUGCGUGAUUUCCUGGAAGGGAGUUUUCUAUUGGACUGUGUACAGGGAAGAUCUGGGAUUCCAGAGAGGAGCCCUGGGCAGGAGGUGGAGCACAAGUGGAUGCAGGUCUCCCGUUGUACAGAUAACAAAACCGAGUCCCAGGGAGGGGCCGAGAACUUCCAAGCUGUCCUCUGUGUGUGGGAAGCCCUUCUCCAUCUUCUUGCUCAUCCACGGGAGCAUGUGGCCCGCGAAAGCCGGCCAUUUUGGCCCAUGUUCCCGUUGAGUAGAACCGAGUCAUGUGACCCCCAACCUAAUCGCAAGGGUGGCUGGGAAACACGGAAGCGCACACGGAAGUCUGCUGAGCACCAUUGCCUCCGCCAUCCUCCCCUAUUAGAAGGUAAGCUCCCUGAGGGAAGGGACUUGGUCAUCCUUGUCACCACUGUCUCCCAGCAGCUGCCACGUGUUGAACACCUGCGAGGCUUGGAUGCAUGA